rnacentral:lncRNA from 1 species
AUGCAGGUGUAUAGUAUUAUAUUAUAUUAUAAUAUUCCCAAGCGGAAAUGUAUUGUAUAUGUGUGUAUGCAGGUGUAUUAUAUUGUAUUAUAUUAUAUUAUAGAAGAACACAGUGAAAAUGUAAAAGAGAGAGGGAAACUGACCUGGUGUUUCUCUGCAAAGGCAAGCAAACCAAGAGGGGAAUGUAUUGUAUAUGUGUGUAUACACGUGUAUAUUGUAUUGUAUUAUAUAACAAUAUAUUAUUAAAUUAUUAUAUUAUAUUGGAGAAGAACACAGUGAAAAUGUAAAAGGAUAGAAACUGACCUGGUGUUUCUCUGCAAAGGCAGGGCAAACCAAGAGGGGAAUGUAUUGUAUAUGUGUAUGCAGGUGUAUAUUAUAUUAUAUUAUAUGUAUGAUGAUGAUGAUUAUUAUUAUAUUAUAAUACUUAUUGUAUACUUUACAAGCACACACACACACAAGGCCUAGAUAUAUUUGAUUUUGGGCCCUUUUCACUCUAAAUCGCUCAUAAUCGUGUUGCUCCCUCCAGAAGAGACUGACAAGGAGGCUAACUUAAUAUGACGAGCUUCUGUUUCUGCUAAAACUACAGGCUGCGAGUCUAUUGCAGCUGCGAGGGCAACCCAGGCAGGCCCACGUGGAUCCAACCAGUGGCUUCCAUUUAUUUAUUUGGUUAUUUAUUUAUUGAUAAUUGGGUCUGCCAAACGCAAACGAGCUACAGUUUGCUCCAGCCCACCAGAAAAGGGAGAGUGGGAAUUGAAGGAAAAAAAACACAUUAAGUAGAUUACCCCCUGAUUACGACAUGAAUUGGCAACGUAAAGCACGCCAAGCUCCCCCUUUUUUUUUGCUCCUCUCGGCGGAAUAUUGAUAGGGUCUAUAUAAUUCUUCAUAUUAUGUGAUAGCAAUAUUCUCUGUCUCUUUGGCGGGCAGACGGAGAGGGAAAAGGGGGGAGCGCUUUCCUCGGAACAGCCGGGUCUUGAGAGGCACAGCGCCAUCUAGCCAACAAACUGGGAAUCAAAGGCGAGGAGGGAGAGAGGGAGAGAGAGAAAGAAAGAAGGACUAUAUGCAAGAAAAGAAAGAGAGAGAGAGAGGGUUGCUGUGAGUUUUCCGGGAAUUUAUGGAAAUGUUCAAGAAGCAUUAUUUCCUGACGUUUCUCCUGUAUCUAGGGCAGGCAUCCUUAGAGGUUGUUGGAAAUUGGAAACUAGCCAAUUGGGUUUUAUAUAUCUGUGCAAUGUUCAGGGUGGGAGAAAGAACUCUUGUCUGUUUGAGGCAAGUGUGAAAGUUGCAACUGGCCACCUUGAUUAGUAUUGAAUAGCCUUUCAGCUUCAAGGCCUGGCUGCUUACUACCUAGAGGAAUCCUUUGUUGGGAGGUGUUAGCUGGUCCUGAUUUAUUCAAGUCUGGAAUUCCCCUGUUUUCUCAGUGUUGUUAUUUAUUUAAUGUCCUGAUUUUAGAGUUUUUUUAAUACUGGUAGCCAGAUUUUGUUCAUUUUCAUUGUUCCCUCCUUUCUGCUUAAAUUGUCCACAUGCUUGUGGAUUUCAAUAGCUUCUCUGUGUAGUCUGAUAUGAUCGUUGUUAGAGUGGCUCAGCAUUUCUCAAUAUACUGUGUCCAGGUUGGUUCUUCAAGUGCUCAGAAAACAGAGGAAUUCCAGACAGGAAUCAAUUAGGGCCAGCUAACACCUCCCAACAAAGGAUUCACCUGGGCAGGAAUCAGCCAGACCUUGAAGCUGCAAGCCUAUUCAAUGCUAACCGAGGUGAUUAAUUGCAUCAUUCACAUCAUCCAACAAGCAAGAGUUUUUUCUCCCACCCUGGACCUUUCACAGAUAUAUAAUCCUCCCUUGCCUAGUUUACAAUAUACUUCACAAUAUACCUUUGAGGAUGCCUGCCAUAGAUGCCUCCAAUAGACAAGAGUUUUUUCUUCCACCCAGAUAUAUAAACCGCAAC